rnacentral:rRNA from 1 species
GAUGAACGCUGGCGGCGUGCCUAAUACAUGCAAGUCGAGCGAAGCGGGGACGGGUGAGUAACACGUGGAUCACCCCCUUUAAGACUUGGGUAACUUCGGGAAACCGGAGCUAAACCGGAUACUUUAAUAAGGUUCCCCGCUGCAUUAGCUAGUUGGUAAGGUAACGGCGUAACAAGGCAACGAUGGAUAGCCGACCUGAGAGAGUGAUCGGCCACACUGGAACUGUGACACGGUCCAGACUCCUACGGGAGGCAGCAGGAGGGAAUCUUCCGCAAUGGGCGAAAGCCUGACGGAGCAACGCCGGGUGAGUGAUGAAGGUCGUCGGAUUGUAAAACUCUUUUAUUAGGGAAGCGGUACCUAAUCAGAAAGCCGCGGCUAACUGCGUGCCAGCAGCCGCGGUAAUAC